rnacentral:tRNA from 1 species
GGAGAGGUGGCUGAGCGGUUGAAAGCGCUCGCCUCGAAAGCGAGUAGGUGGGUUAAUCCCUGCCUCGUGGGUUCGAAUCCCACCCUCUCCGCCA